GUGCUCACUUGACAGCAUACAUACUAAAAUUGGAACGGUACAGUGAAGAUUAGCAUGGCCCCUAUGGAGGGAUACAUGUAAAUUUGCAAAGUGUUCCAUAUUUUU
ensembl:snRNA U6 U6 spliceosomal RNA